AUUGAACGCUGGCGGUAGGCCUAACACAUGCAAGUCGAACGGCAGCACAGUAAGAGCUUGCUCUUAUGGGUGGCGAGUGGCGGACGGGUGAGGAAUACAUCGGAACGUGUCCUGGAGUGGGGGAUAGCUCGGCGAAAGCCGGAUUAAUACCGCAUACGCUCUGAGGAGGAAAGCGGGGGACCUUCGGGCCUCGCGCUGCG
rnacentral:rRNA from 1 species